rnacentral:rRNA from 1 species
UACGAAGGGGGCUAGCGUUGCUCGGAAUGACUGGGCGUAAAGGGCGCGUAGGCGGCGGCCACAGUCAGAUGUGAAAUUCCUGGGCUUAACCUGGGGGCUGCAUUUGAUACGUGGUUGCUUGAGUGGGGAAGAGGGUCGUGGAAUUCCCAGUGUAGAGGUGAAAUUCGUAGAUAUUGGGAAGAACACCGGUGGCGAAGGUGGCGACCUGGUCCUUGACUGACGCUGAGGCGCGAAAGCUAGGGGAGCAAACGGG